rnacentral:lncRNA from 1 species
CUCAGAGCCUGGAAAGAUGGGGUGUGAUUAGCUCAGUUUGCCUUCUUGCUGCUUCUGGAACAAAAAUCAGUCUGCCUAGGACAACUUCUCCAUGGUGGUGUGCCCCUAGAGACAGGCAGACAGCCCUAGAGUUGGGUCUCAGUCCAUGAGAGGCAAGCUGAGUAUAGCAUCUUCCAAUUAACUGUAACUGCUCUGAGAUGGACACACAAGCUAGGCUGGGUCAUAAUGAUGGAAGA